rnacentral:rRNA from 1 species
AGAGUUUGAUCCUGGCUCAGGACGAACGCUGGCGGCGUGCCUAACACAUGCAAGUCGAACGAAGUAUAUUUUCGGAUAUGCUUAGUGGCGGACGGGUGAGUAACGCGUGGACAAUCUGCCCUAUACACAGGAAUAGCCUCGGGAAACUGGGAUUAAAACCGGAUAACACUUUUGAGCCGCAUGGCAUGGAAGUCAAAUUGAUUUAGAGGUAUAGGAUGAGUUCGCGUCUGAUUAGCUAGUUGGUGAGGUAACGGCUCACCAAGGCGACGAUCAGUAGCCGGCCUGAGAGGGUGAACGGCCGCACUGGAACUGAGACACGGUCCAGACUCCUACGGGAGGCAGCAGUGGGGAAUAUUGCACAAUGGAGGAAACUCUGAUGCAGCGACGCCGCGUGAGUGAAGAAGGUCUUCGGAUCGUAAAACUCUGUCCUUGGUGACGAAAAAAUGACGGUAGCCAAGGAGGAAGCCCCGGCUAACUACGUGCCAGCAGCCGCGGUAAUACGUAGGGGGCGAGCGUUGUCCGGAUUUACUGGGCGUAAAGGGUGAGUAGGCGGUAAUAUGUGUCAGAUGUAAAAGGCUAUGGCUUAACCAUAGUUGGCAUUUGAAACUGUAUUACUUGAGUGCAGGAGAGGUAAGUGGAAUUCCUAGUGUAGCGGUGAAAUGCGUAGAUAUUAGGAGGAACACCAGUGGCGAAGGCGACUUACUGGACUGUAACUGACGCUGAGUCACGAAAGCGUGGGUAGCAAACAGGAUUAGAUACCCUGGUAGUCCACGCUGUAAACGAUGAGUGCUAGGUGUUGGGUAGCGAUAUUNNNNGCCNNNNUUAACACAAUAAGCACUCCGCCUGGGGAGUACGGUCGCA